GGGUCAGUAGGUUGGUCGUGCCACCGGUACGUACUGGUCUCACUGAUUCCUCCUUCCUGAAGAACCGUAAUGACAUUAAUUUGGUGUUGCGGGGAAACAGGGCUGUUACUUUGAAAAAAUUAGAGUGUUUAAAGCAAGCUAACGCUUGAAUACAUUAGCAUGGAAUAAUGAAAUAGGACGAUCGAUCCUAUUUUGUUGGUUUCUAGGAUUGACGUA
rnacentral:rRNA from 1 species